rnacentral:rRNA from 1 species
UACGUAGGGUGCAAGCGUUGUCCGGAAUUAUUGGGCGUAAAGAGUUCGUAGGCGGUUUGUCGCGUUGUUCGUGAAAACCGGGGGCUUAACCCUCGGCGUGCGGGCGAUACGGGCAGACUUGAGUACUGCAGGGGAGACUGGAAUUCCUGGUGUAGCGGUGGAAUGCGCAGAUAUCAGGAGGAACACCGGUGGCGAAGGCGGGUCUCUGGGCAGUAACUGACGCUGAGGAGCGAAAGCGUGGGGAGCGAACAGG